rnacentral:misc_RNA from 1 species
GAUGAAGAACGCAGCGAAAUGCGAUAAGUAAUGUGAAUUGCAGAAUUCAGUGAAUCAUCGAAUCUUUGAACGCACCUUGCACUCCUUGGUAUUCCGAGGAGUACGCCUGUUCGAGUGUUAUGAAGCUCUCAAAACGCAAUUGGCUUAAAACCUGAUUGUUGUUUUGGAUUUGAACUUUGCCGUGUUAUAACGGCUGGUUUUAAAAGUAUUAGCUGGUACUAGAACGAAUUGGUUCUACUCAACGUGAUAAUUAUCUGAUCGUUGAGGACAUUCCUUUCACGAGGAAUGGCCAUAGUAAAUUCAAUGGACUGCUUCUAAUCUGGCUUUACUUCUUUAUUGGAUUAACCACUUUUCAAAUCUGACCUCGAAUCAGGUGGGACUACCCGCUGAACUUAAGCAUAUCAAUAAGCGGAGGA